rnacentral:rRNA from 1 species
AAUACAUUAGCAUGGGAUAAUGGAAUAGGACCCUGACCUCCUAUUUUCAGUUGGUUUUGUUUACAGCGAGGUUAUAUCAGGGUAAUGAUUAAUAGGGAUAGUUGGGGGCAUUAAUAUUUAAUUGUCAGAGGUGAAAUUCUUGGAUUUAUGAAAGAUUAACUUCUGCGAAAGCGUUUGCCAAGGAUGUUUUCAUUAAUCAAGAACGAAAGUUAGGGGAUCGAAGACGAUCAGAUACCGUCGUAGUCUUAACCAUAAACGAUGCCGACCAGCGAUUAGGAGACGUUGAAUACAAAACACCGCUGUUAAUCCUUUCGGGGGUUAAUAGUUGGUGAAUGACUCC